rnacentral:lncRNA from 1 species
GGCAGGCAUGCAACAGAGACUUGGUCAGAUAUUCCUUGAGGGCACUGACCAGCCUCCUGCAUCCGUCCGUCAGCUUGGCCCAGCCACAGCUCUGUCUCUUCUUGGUGAGUGGCUCUGGGCACUUGCCCCUUCCCAUCACUGUGCCUAAUCCCUCUCCUGUACACGGUGGGGACCACUGGAGGAGCUCUGGAGACUCCCUCUUGUGAACAUUAGUGACUGCUUACUUACCAGGACUCCAAAAUGGUCCCCAGCUUGCUUCAGAGAGCUCACAGCCAAGAUGACAAGUGAGACCAUCAACCAUCAGUCCACUACCACCCUCAUAUCAUUGUUUUAUAUGUAUGAGAACCACCAUCAUCAUGGCAGUUACCUCCAAUUCAGCACCUUUUACAGAUCAUCACCAGCAGCUUCUCACUCAGCUGCCAUGCAUUGACUUCCCUGUUGAUCCAGCCUACUGCGGACCCAAAUAUUCCUGUUGCCAGAUAGGAGGGAUGAGUAAUGGAGACUCCAGUCCUCAGAGACCUUGAUCAAGUAAAGCAAAAACCCCUUCCUCCACUUUCUUUGCAAGUGGCUAAACCCUUAGUCACUCUGGGAAGAAAAGUAAACUGAAAACUUGAAAAAGUCCCAAGACAGAAUCUAACUCCAUCCCCUGCCCCAGAUAAAAAGCAAGAUAGCACAACUAUAGCAACCUUUUAAGUCAAAUUAAAUGAGCUAAUAAAAAUCAGGCCUGUUCAAGUGCCCAAUUGAUUUAAACAUGAAGAUUGUCAGUUUCCAGCAUCACUGAUUCUAAUCCAACAACCCUCACCAUAGAGGUCUUCAUUCAGCCUGCUGUGUUUGGAGGUUUUGCUUAUUGGGUGUGUAUCUGUAAGGUAAAUCUUGACGAUUUCCUUACUACAGACAAUUAUCUGGCUGGAGAUGUC